rnacentral:rRNA from 1 species
AUUGAACGCUGGCGGCAGGCCUAACACAUGCAAGUCGAGCGGAUGAGGGAGCUUGCUCCUGGGAUCAGCGGCGGACGGGGGAGGAAUGCCUAGGAAUCUGCCUGGUAGGGGGGGAAAACGGCCGGAAACGGGCGCCAAUAACGCAUACGGCCUGGGGGAGAAAGGGGGGGAUCUUCGGACCUCACGCCAUUAGGUGAAGCUAGGUCGGAUUAGCUAGUUGGUGGGGUAAAGGCCUACCAAGGCGACGAUCCGUAACUGGUCUGAGAGGAUGAUCAGUCACACUGGAACUGAGACACGGUCCAGACUCCUACGGGAGGCAGCAGUGGGGAAUAUUGGACAAUGGGCGAAAGCCUGAUCCAGCCAUGCCGCGUGUGUGAAGAAGGUCUUCGGAUUGUAAAGCACUUUAAGUUGGGAGGAAGGGCAGUAAGUUAAUACCUUGCUGUUUUGACGUUACCAACAGAAUAAGCACCGGCUAACUUCGUG